AGUGAACGCUGGCGGCAGGCCUAACACAUGCAAGUCGAGCGGCAGAACAGUGCGUGCUCCUGGAUUCAGCGGCCGACUGGUGAGUAAUUCCUGAGAAUCUGCCUGGCUGCUGUGGAGAACGUCCUAACGCGGGGACUCAUACGCCAUAACCCCAUACGGCGUACGGGGGAGAGCUGCGGAUCUUCCGCCCUCACACGAGCCAAUGUGCGGAUGUCGGAUUAGCUAGUUGGCGGGGUAAAGGCCCACCAAGGCGACGAUCCGUAGCUGGUCUGAGAGGAUGAUCAGCCACACUGGAACUGAGACACGGUCCAGACUCCUACGGGAGGCAGCAGUGGGGAAUAUUGGACAAUGGGCGAAAGCCUGAUCCAGCCAUGCCGCGUGUGUGAAGAAGGUCUUCGGAUUGUAAAGCACUUUAAGUGGGGAGGAAGGGCAGUAAGUUAAUACCUUGCUGUUUUGACGGUACCAAAAGAAUAAGCACCGGCUAACUUCGUG
rnacentral:rRNA from 1 species